GACGAACGCUGGCGGCGUGCUUAACACAUGCAAGUCGAACGAAAAGAGGGAAAGAGCUUGCUCUUUCCGGAAUUGAGUGGCAAACGGGUGAGUAACACGUAAACAACCUGCCUUCAGGAUGGGGACAACAGACGGAAACGACUGCUAAUACCGAAUAAGUUCCAAGGGCCGCAUGGCCCAUGGAAGAAAAGGUGGCCUCUACCUGUAAGCUAUCGCCUGAAGAGGGGUUUGCGUCUGAUUAGCUGGUUGGAGGGGUAACGGCCCACCAAGGCGACGAUCAGUAGCCGGUCUGAGAGGAUGAACGGCCACACUGGAAUUGAGACACGGUCCAGACUCCUACGGGAGGCAGCAGUGGGGAAUCUUCCGCAAUGGGCGAAAGCCUGACGGAGCAACGCCGCGUGAGUGAUGACGGCCUUCGGGUUGUAAAACUCUGUGAUCCGGGACGAAAAGGCAGAGUGCGAAGAACAAACUGCAUUGACGGUACCGGAAAGGCAAGCCACGGCUAACUACGUG
rnacentral:rRNA from 1 species